GAUUAGCACACCAUCAGGGCUCUGGAUUUUCAUGGCUCUGGAGGUGGGCGGAUUUGAGUACACUACUGGUGUAAAAUGACAAAAUUCACAAUGUACAUCAGUGAUAAACCUGAUUCUGAUUCGGAUACUGAGAAAAUUAACUUUGCCUGCCAGUUUCAACUGUUUCAAGGCCAAAUCACAAGUUUGAUUUACACCAGUUCUCCACAACCAUUCUGCAUCCCCUCCUCCUAAAACAUCAGCAACAGUUAUGAGUUCAGUGGAGUGGAGGAGUGAACCUGUGCCUCUCCACUUCAUGUAGCUGCCAUUGGAAUGUGACUCUUUCAAACAUCGUACUUUGUAGCCAUGACAAUGGGAAGUGAUCAAAAUGGAAGAAUGGAAGUUGUCCAUUACAAUUCCUGCACAUCAAAAAAAGAAUCGAACAGUAAUAUCUGAGACUUUAGCCUGAUCGUAUGUAAAGACUCCAUGUAUGCAGACAUUACAGCAGAACUCAGUGGACACAGUGGAGUUUGAUCCAUUACGUACAAUGUUGGCCUACCAAGGAGAAGCAGGUGAAUGGCUUGGACAUUGACUCCAGGAAAUACUUGCAUCAUUGCAGAAGAACUCUGAGACUGUAUUGGACCAACUGGCAAUGAAGAGUUAAAUGCAAAGCAAGUGAAUCUGGAGACAGAAAUAUCACAACAAGAAAUGUACACUUGAAGACCUCCUCCAAGGAGACCACCUGUCUAUGGCAUCCAACUCACAUCAAUCUCAACAGCAAACUAAUGCCUCACAGUUGAAGCUGCAUGAUGAGACCAACUGCGGCAGGUCCCAAAGGCGGUUGUUAGACACAGAUUUUAAGAGUACUGCACCUAUUGCUAGGUGUGUUGUCUGUUGAUGAAUAGGUUGUCUGUGACUUCCAGAUUAUAUGUGCAGAAUGUCUGGUGCUGUGAUCCUGUACACAAUGCAAGCAGUACUGAAGUGAAAAGAUUACAAAACGGGUGAUUCUUCACUAAUGAGCCAUUCGUUUCCAAAUCUACAUUAAGUCUGCCACACAUCGCAAGCCUACAAGUAGUUCCUUUCCUUGUGAAGUAAAUCACUUCCAGCAUUCAGUGCCUUAAGUCUAAAUCUGUUUAUUUUGCAAAAUGUUCACAUAAAUCAAUUCCAAAUCUAGGGUAACAGGCCAAUGAUAAACGUAAGAUUUUUAGCACUGUGAUCCUCUGGUGGAGGAGAUGCACCUUGUGGCAACUUCUUCAGAAUUUCUUCAGAAGUCCUUUCAUUUCUUGAUCCAU